UACGUAGGGGGCAAGCGUUAUCCGGAUUUACUGGGUGUAAAGGGAGCGUAGACGGCAAGGCAAGUCUGAUGUGAAAACCCAGGGCUUAACCCUGGGACUGCAUUGGAAACUGUCUGACUCGAGUGCCGGAGAGGUAAGCGGAAUUCCUAGUGUAGCGGUGAAAUGCGUAGAUAUUAGGAAGAACACCAGUGGCGAAGGCGGCUUACUGGACGGUAACUGACGUUGAGGCUCGAAAGCGUGGGGAGCAAACAGG
rnacentral:rRNA from 1 species